AUACGUAGGGGGCGAGCGUUGUCCGGAAUGAUUGGGCGUAAAGGGCGCGUAGGCGGCGCGGUAAGUCUGGAGUGAAAGUCCUGCUUUCAAGGUGUGAAUUGCUUUGGAUACUGCCGCGCUUGAGUGCAGGAGAGGUUAUCGGAAUUCCCGGUGUAGCGGUGAAAUGCGUAGAGAUCGGGAGGAACACCAGUGGCGAAGGCGGGUAACUGGACUGCAACUGACGCUGAGGCGCGAAAGUGUGGGGAGCAAACAGGAUUAGAUACCCUGGUAGUCCACACUGUAAACGAUGAAUGCUAGGUGUAAGAGGUAUCGACCCCUUUUGUGCCGGAGUCAACACAAUAAGCAUUCCGCCUGGGGAGUACGGCCGCAAGGUUGAAACUCAAAUGAAUUGACGGGG
rnacentral:rRNA from 1 species